rnacentral:rRNA from 1 species
GACGAACGCUGGCGGCGUGGAUUAGGCAUGCAAGUCGAACGGUAUCAUCCUUUCGGGGGUGAGAGAGUGGCGAACUGGUGAGUAACACGUAGGUUAUCUACCCUCAAGACGGGGACAACCCAGGGAAACUUGGGCUAAUACCGGAUGUGAGCAACUUUUAGUUGUUUGAAAGGUGGCGUAAGCUGUCGCUUGGGGAUGAGCCUGCGUCCUAUUAGUUAGUUGGUGAGGUAACGGCUCACCUAGGCAAUGAUAGGUAGGCGGCCUUAACGGGUGGUCGCCCACACUGGGAUUGAGAUACGGCCCAGACUCCUACGGGAGGCAGCAGUCGAGAAUAGUCUACAAUGGUCGGAAGACUGAUAGUGCGACGCCGCGUGAACGAUGAAUCCCUUCGGGGUGUAAAGUUCUUUUAUAUGUGAGCAGUGCUUCUUAUAUUAACAGUAUGGGGAGAGAGAUAUUAGCAUAUGAAUAAGCAACGGCUAACCCGUGCCAGCAGCCCGGUAAUA